CACACACACAUAAUUAAAAAAUCCAAGCUGCCAGUUGAUUCAGGACUGAUAGGGUUAAUAUUCAGUUUAUCAGUGAAGUUUUAGGGAGUAGUUUGAGGUUCACAGAACCCGGAUCUGUGCUAGGUAAAACAGAUCAUUAGCUUGAGCCUAUCUUCUUCCUAAAUGCUUAUACUCUGGAAGAUGCCCAUGGAGGCUAAAGCCCUAGGCUUAUCCCACAUUGCAGUUUUCAUUGACACUGUCAGUCAUAAAAGCAGGUGAUAAUUCUAAGAACUGGUACUAUGAAUGUCAGGCAUGUUAAGUGCUCCUGAAGAUGCAACAGUGGUGUCUGGGGGAAGGGAGACCUUAAAAGAGGAAGGAAACAAACAGCUUCCUUUGAACAUUCCAUGUUUUCAGCUUGCCCGCUGUGGUAACCAUUUUGAAACCUGUAAAGUAAAUUGUGUAGAACAUGCCAAGUAGAGAUUUUGGCAAAGGCCUGGAAAUAUAAUUAAAAAAGAGCAUAUAAAAGUUUAGAAAUAAAUUCAGGCAGAAGAGAAUGCUGGGUAAGUUUUCCAAUAUGUCAUCUAUAACAGGUUUCUUAUGGUUGCCUGCAAGUUUCUUAAGGUAAACCUUUAAAUCUGAAUCACCCUCAUGUCUUUCAAGGUACCAACCAAGAUAUCCUGUACACAGCAUCGCUUAGUAGACAUGUGAUAAAACCACCUGCAGGUGAGUGUGGAUUCAGUGCACAGAGGGCACAAGCAGUGAGAAGUCACAGAUCUUUCUGUUCUUAGCUGUUUGCAAUAGAUUACUUAUUCCUAUCCUAAAUAACAUUCUUUGCUAGACACUGUAAUGGGAGGUGUUAUUUUUUUCUGUUUUAUUAUUGCUCUAUGAACAGAACACUAGGUUUAGUCAUGGUAGUCUGAUGAACCUGUUUCCGGAAUGAGUUUCAUGAUAGCUUAAGGUUUUCUUCCCUGUACAGCCAAUACUACUUAAACAUGUACGUGAUUUCUGGACACUUUAGCUUACAUACUAGAGUGGAACAUAUUUGGUGCUAUCACCGGGGACAAAUGUCUUACACAACAUUUCUAAUAAUGGGAGCUGGUGAGAUGGCCCAGCAGGUCAAAGACACUUUCCAUUAGGACUGACAAGCUGAGUUCAGGCUCUAGGAUCCACCAGGAGAAAUGAGAAGCUGACUCCCAUUAGUAAUUCUCUGACCUCCACAUCUAGGCUUUGGCAUUCAUGUGUGUGUACAUAUAUGUAUGCAUGCAUGUGCAUGUGUCAGUGCAUGCACUCACAAACACAAAAGAAAAGAUCAUGUGAAUAAGGGAGUUAGAGAAAUGUCUUAGUGGUGAAAAGUACUUCCUGUUCUUGUACAGGAUGCAGGACUUACAUGGUAGCUCACAACUCCUUGUAACUCCCAUUCCAGGAGCUCUGAUGACCUUUUCUGGCCUAUACAGGCAUCAGUGCAUACAUGGUGCACAUACACAUGUGCACAAAUGCUCACAUGCAUAAAUAAAAAUAAAUCUUUAAAAGUAAAUUAAAUUAUUUUGUAUUAAAGGUCAUUGUGUUUUAAUCGGCAUGUGCAAAAGUUCUGGGCAUGGCUGGUUAUGUUUGAGCAACGUUGUGAAUGUAUUUAAUGCAAGCAAGGGGUAUAGUUAAAAUGGCUUUAAUGGUACAUUUUAUGUUACAUAGUUUCAAACAAUUUAUAGAAAGCCAUGAGAUAUAUUUAUGGCUCUGUUAAAGUAAUAAUGAGGUGGAGAUAAUUAAUACCACACUUCACUGAACCUUCGCCAAACAAAAAACAAUGCAAUAAUUUGCCUGAACACAUUAGCUAUUACUUUUGAGGCAGUGAAGCAGCUUGUUUUGUGGGUCUGCACACUUUUAUGGUUUACUGUAUUCAUCCAUGUGUUCUGUAGUCACAGGUAUACAUUGAGCUUUAGAACACACUUAGGAUUCAGCCAGAUCCUGACAUUUCUCAAGGCACAGAAAACGGAUCUCAGUCUGCUACAGAACCUUGACCCCCCCCCAAAACUCAGAGACCCACAAGGCUUUCUCUGUAUGGGGCAUGCAACCCAUGCUUCCGUUCUUGGCUUCACCUAACCAACCAAAGUUUCCUUACAAACACGGAGAUUAACCUUACCUCCUUGACAACUCUGUCACAAGGAAAUUAAAGUUGAAAACUUGGGAUGGCUUAAGAGGGAAACAGAAUUCGAGUUACCAAGUCUUGAGGUAAACCUGGAAGAGACUGACGAAUAUUUUCUUCAGAUUUUAUGUGGAUUUGAGCAUGCAGGUGUAUUGUCGGUGGACGCCGGAAGAGGGUGUUGUAUCUCUUGGAGCAGGAGUUACAAGAGGUUAUGGAGCACUCAGUGUUUGUUGAUCCUGGUGUCAGAUGUUGGGUCCUCUGGAAACACAGUAUCCUCUCAUAAACAUGAAGCCACCUCUCAGCUCCAAUAAAUAUUUUGCAUUUUUGAAACAAAGUAUUAAUGGCUACCGAGUAGGAGGUCAGUGGUAUUUUACUUAUUUAAAUGAAUAGACAUGAGGCCAAGACUUGAUGAUAGGAUUCUCUCCAAUCUCAAAAGGUUCAUUCAUCUAAAUAAGUAUCUGCAAACACUUAUAUGCCAGGGACUGUUGAUACAGCAAUAAAUAACGUGCACACUGAUCUCUGCUCUUGAGAAGCUCAUAUGCGAGACAGGGAAAUUAUAAUAAAAAUAACAACUGGAUAAAUUAUAAAAUAUAGAGUCUAUUAGGAUGUGAUAAGUAUUUUAGGGAGAGAAGAAAGACAAACAAUAGGACUGGAGGGGAGUUAAAUUCUCAUUUAAUUGCUCUGGAGAAAAUCUGUUCUAAAUAUGUAUUUGUUUUGUUAUCAGUGUGUCAUGUGGCUUUUCUUGCUAAGUACCUUUCAACACUUAGGAAUUAAGCACGUCUUUUGCUUUAUCUUCAAGACAGCAGCGGCAUGUCCAACCUUUGAAAUCUCUGACUUUCCUGAGAGAAUUACCACCCAAGGCAUAAGGUAUCUUGAAGGUUAUUUCAGACUGCAAUCAAGAAAUUUAAAUAAUCUGGAAACUAAAGAGAAGACUGUGAAGGUGCAGAGAGUCUUUGUCUACAUGAGCCAGUGGCAGUAGGAAAAUACUGUGGUUAAUAAAAGUGUUUUCUUGAUGGAUCUAUCUAUUACCUAUCUAUCUGUCUGUCUGUCUGUC
rnacentral:sRNA from 1 species